rnacentral:lncRNA from 1 species
CUGGGACAUGACAUUUGAAUAAAACACAUCUGCUUUUUGUGACAUACUUCCAAAUAAAUGUCAUCUCAACAUUUAGGCUCCAACCUUCUCAUGACUUGGAGAGAACUCACACUGCUCUUCAAAGCUUGGUACCCUCUGUGCACACUACAUGGAGUGGAAUGAAUCACCUGAUUCUGCCUACAUGGAAGAAGAAGAAA